ACUGACAGUUGCUACAUCAGAAAUAAUUCAUCCUAUUACUGACAGUUGCUACAUUAGAAAUAGUUCAUCCUAUUAAUGACAGUUGAUACAAUAGAAAUCAAUCAUCCUAUUACUGACAGUUGCUAUAUUAGAAUUAGUUCAUCCUAUUAAUGACAGUUGAUACAAUAGAAAUCAAUCAUCCUAUUAUUGAUAGUUGCUACAUUAGAAAUAGUUCAUCCUAUUAAUGACAGU